AUUAAGCCGCGCCAAUCACAAAACAGAAUUAGUGGUUUUAGUACAGAAUCUAAAACCACUAAUACUAAAACCACUAAUUCUGUUUUGUGAUUGGCGCGG